GAUGAACGCUGGCGGCGUGCCUAAUACAUGCAAGUCGAGCGAACAGAUGAGAAGCUUGCUUCUCUGAUGUUAGCGGCGGACGGGUGAGUAACACGUGGGUAACCUACCUAUAAGACUGGGAUAACUCCGGGAAACCGGGGCUAAUACCUGAUAAUAUUUUGAACCGCAUGGUUCAAUAGUGAAAGACGGCUUCGGCUGUCACUUAUAGAUGGACCCGCGCCGUAUUAGCUAGUUGGUAAGGUAAUGGCUUACCAAGGCGACGAUACGUAGCCGACCUGAGAGGGUGAUCGGCCACACUGGAACUGAGACACGGUCCAGACUCCUACGGGUGGCUG
rnacentral:rRNA from 1 species